CAGCAGCCGCGGUAAUACGGAGGGUGCAAGCGUUAUCCGGAUUCACUGGGUUUAAAGGGUGCGUAGGAGGGCAGGGAAGUCAGUGGUGAAAUCUCCGGGCUUAACUCGGAAACUGCCGUUGAUACUCUCUGUCUUGAAUACCGUGGAGAUGAGCGGAAUAUGUCAUGUAGCGGUGAAAUGCUUAGAGAUGACAUAGAACACCAAUUGCGAAGGCAGCUCGUUACACGCAUAUUGACUCUGAGGCACGAAAGCGUGGGGAUCAAACAGGAUUAGAUACCCUGGUAGUCCACGCCCUAAACGA
rnacentral:rRNA from 1 species